CGAGCGGUAGAGAGAAGCUUGCUUCUCUUGAGAGCGGCGGACGGGUGAGUAAUGCCUAGGAAUCUGCCUGGUAGUGGGGGAUAACGUUCGGAAACGGACGCUAAUACCGCAUACGUCCUACGGGAGAAAGCAGGGGACCUUCGGGCCUUGCGCUAUCAGAUGAGCCUAGGUCGGAUUAGCUAGUUGGUGAGGUAAUGGCUCACCAAGGCGACGAUCCGUAACUGGUCUGAGAGGAUGAUCAGUCACACUGGAACUGAGACACGGUCCAGACUCCUACGGGAGGCAGCAGUGGGGAAUAUUGGACAAUGGGCGAAAGCCUGAUCCAGCCAUGCCGCGUGUGUGAAGAAGGUCUUCGGAUUGUAAAGCACUUUAAGUUGGGAGGAAGGGCAGUUACCUAAUACGUGAUUGUUUUGACGUUACCGACAGAAUAAGCACCGGCUAACUCUGUGCCAGCAGCCGCGGUAAUACAGAGGGUGCAAGCGUUAAUCGGAAUUACUGGGCGUAAAGCGCGCGUAGGUGGUUUGUUAAGUUGGAUGUGAAAUCCCCGGGCUCAACCUGGGAACUGCAUUCAAAACUGACUGACUAGAGUGUGGUAGAGGGUGGUGGAAUUUCCUGUGUAGCGGUGAAAUGCGUAGAUAUAGGAAGGAACACCAGUGGCGAAGGCGACCACCUGGACCAACACUGACACUGAGGUGCGAAAGCGUGGGGAGCAAACAGGAUUAGAUACCCUGGUAGUCCACGCCGUAAACGAUGUCAACUAGCCGUUGGGAGCCUUGAGCUCUUAGUGGCGCAGCUAACGCAUUAAGUUGACCGCCUGGGG
rnacentral:rRNA from 1 species